CUGAGCGUGUCUCUUGAGGUAAUCAUCGUUGUCACUUCGCAAAGUUGGAAUUGAAAACGUUGUCUAUCUCGAAAGGCUUAUCAG
ensembl:miRNA mir-794 ncRNA